GGGUUGUGAGGUUAAGCGACUAAGCGUACACGGUGGAUGCCCUGGCAGUCAGAGGCGAUGAAGGGCGUGCUAAUCUGCGAUAAGCGCCGGUAAGGUGAUAUGAACCGUUAUAACCGGCGAUACCCGAAUGGGGAAACCCAGUGUGACUCGUCACACUAUCAUUAACUGAAUCCAUAGGUUAAUGAGGCGAACCGGGGGAACUGAAACAUCUAAGUACCCCGAGGAAAAGAAAUCAACCGAGAUUCCCCCAGUAGCGGCGAGCGAACGGGGAGGAGCCCAGAGCCUGAAUCAGCAUGUGUGUUAGUGGAAGCGUCUGGAAAGGCGCGCGAUACAGGGUGACAGCCC
rnacentral:rRNA from 2 species